GCGUUGGUGGUUUAGUGGUAAAAUUGAUCGUUGCCAUCUCUCAAUUAGUUCGAAAUUUGACUCGAUCAGCCCCGGGUUCGAUUCCCGGCCGACGCA